rnacentral:pre_miRNA from 1 species
AUACUACUCCCUCCGUUUGGAAUUACUUGUCGUAGAAAUGGAUGUAUCUAGACAUUUUUUAGUUCUAGAUACAUUCAUUUUUGCGACAAGUAAUUCGGAACGGAGGGAGUAGCUU